rnacentral:rRNA from 1 species
GACGAACGCUGGCGGCGUGCUUAACACAUGCAAGUCGAACGGAAAGGCCCUGCUUUUGUGGGGUGCUCGAUUGGCGAACGGGUGAGUAACACGUGUGUAUCCCGCCCUUGACUUUGGGAUAUCUUCAGGAAACUGGGGCUAAUACCGGAUAGGAUCUCCUGCUGCAUGGUGGGGGUUGGAAAGUUUCGGCGGUUGGGGAUGGACUCGCGGCUUAUCCGCUUGUUUGGGGGGUAGUGGCUUACCAAGGCUUUGACGGGUAGGCGGCCUGGGAGGGUGACCGGCCACAUUGGGACUGAGAUACGGCCCAGACUCCUACGGGAGGCAGCAGGGGGGAAUAUUGCACAAUGGGCGGAAGCGUGAUGCAGCAACGCCGCGUGCGGGAUGACGGCCUUCGGGUUGUAAACCGCUUUCGCCUGUGACGAAGCGUGAGUGACGGUAAUGGGUAAAGAAGCACCGGCUAACUACGUG